rnacentral:rRNA from 1 species
GUGUCAGCAGCCGCGGUAAUACAGAGGUCCCGAGCGUUGUUCGGAUUCAUUGGGCGUAAAGGGUGCGUAGGUGGCGCCGUAAGUGGGGUGUGAAAUCCCGGGGCUUAACCCCGGGACUGCAUUCCAUACUGCGGUGCUUGAGGACUGGAGAGGAGACUGGAAUUUACGGUGUAGCAGUGAAAUGCGUAGAGAUCGUAAGGAAGACCAGUGGCGAAGGCGGGUCUCUGGACAGUUCCUGACACUGAGGCACGAAGGCCAGGGGAGCAAACGGGAUUAGAUACCCCCGUAGUCC